rnacentral:rRNA from 1 species
AAUGCCGGAUGAGUUAUAUAAGUGCAUGUUUAUAUAGGAAAAGUUGGGGAGACCUGACGCUGAAAGAUGGACUCGCGUCCCAUUAGCUAGUUGGUAGGGUAAUGGCCUACCAAGGCGACGAUGGGUAGCCGGCCUGAGAGGGUGGCCGGCCACACUGGGACUGAGACACGGCCCAGACUCCUACGGGAGGCAGCAGUGGGGAAUUUUGCGCAAUGCUCGUAAGAGUGACGCAGCGACGCCGCGUGAAUGACGAAGGCCCUCGGGUCGUAAAGUUCUUUCGACAGGGAAGAAAAUGCCUAUAAGUAACUGUGUAUGUAUUGACGGUACCUGUAUAAGCAGCCCCGGCUAACUCCGUGCCAGCAGCCGCGGUAAUACGGAGGGGGCGAGCGUUGUUCGGAGUGACUGGGCGUAAAGAGCACGUAGGCGGUGUUGUAAGUCAUUAGUCAAAGACUAGAGCUCAACUUUAGUAAGGCUAGUGAUACUAUAAUACUAGAGUAUCAGAGAGGAUUGCAGAAUUCCUGGUGUAGCGGUGAAAUGCGUAGAUAUCAGGAGGAAUACCGUUAGCGAAGGCGGCAAUCUGGCUGGAAACUGACGCUGAGGUGCGAAAGCGUGGGUAGCAAACAGGAUUAGAUACCCUGGUAGUCCACGCUGUAAACGAUGGAUGCUAGGUGUUGGGCUUUUAAGUUCAGUGCCGCAGC